AUUGAACGCUGGCGGCGGGCCUAACACAUGCAAGUCGAGCGAGCGGCGGACGGGUGAGUAAUGCCUGGGAAUUGCCCAGUCUAGGGGGAUAACAGUUGGAAACGACUGCUAAUACCUAAUACGAUUGGAUUGCCCCGGUGUGAUUAGCUAGUUGGUGAGGUAAUGGCUCACCAAGGCGACGAUCCCUAGCUGGGCUGAGCGGAUGAGCAGCCACACUGGAACUGAGACACGGUCCAGACUCCUACGGGAGGCAGCAGUGGGGAAGAUUCCAAAAUGGGGGAAAGCCUGAUGCAGCAAUGCCGCGUGUGUGAAGAAGGCCGUCGGGUUGUAAAGCACUUUCAGCGAGGAGGCGUUACUUGCAGAAGAAGCACCGGCUAACUCCGUGCCAGCAGCCGCGGUAAUAC
rnacentral:rRNA from 1 species